UGGCUCAGGACGAACGCUGGCGGCGUGCUUAACACAUGCAAGUCGAACGGUGAACCGCUUCGGUGGGGAUCAGUGGCGAACGGGUGAGUAACACGUGGGCAACCUGCCCUCAGCUCUGGGAUAACUCCAAGAAAUUGGGGCUAAUACCGGAUGUGACCGCUGACCGCAUGGUCUGGUGGUGGAAAGAUUUAUCGGCUGGGGAUGGGCCCGCGGCCUAUCAGCUUGUUGGUGGGGUAGUGGCCUACCAAGGCGACGACGGGUAGCCGGCCUGAGAGGGUGACCGGCCACACUGGGACUGAGACACGGCCCAGACUCCUACGGGAGGCAGCAGUGGGGAAUAUUGCGCAAUGGGCGAAAGCCUGACGCAGCGACGCCGCGUGGGGGAUGACGGCCUUCGGGUUGUAAAC
rnacentral:rRNA from 1 species